rnacentral:rRNA from 1 species
CCUACGGGAGGCAGCAGUGGGGAAUAUUGCACAAUGGGGGAAACCCUGAUGCAGCGACGCCGCGUGAGCGAUGAAGUAUUUCGGUAUGUAAAGCUCUAUCAGCAGGGAAGAAAAUGACGGUACUUGACUAAGAAGCCCCGGCUAACUACGUGCCAGAGGCCGCGGUAAUACGUAGGGGGAAAGCGUUAUCCGGAGUUACUGGGUGUAAAGGGAGCGUAGACGGCGGUGCAAGCCAGAUGUGAAAGCCCGGGGCGCAACCCCGGGACUGCAUUUGGAACUGGGCGGCUAGAGUGUCGGAGAGGCAGGCGGAAUUCCUGGUGUAGCGGUGAAAUGCGUAGAUAUUAGGAGGAACACCAGUGGCGAAGGCGGGCUGCUGGACGAUGACUGACGUUGAGGCUCGAAAGCGUGGGGAGCAAACAGGAUUAGAUACCCGGGUAGUC